GUCAGUGGUUUAAGUACGUGCAUCUUUACCCCACAUCCCUUUGCAUCAAAGAUAGCUAUCAAUUCCUUUAAACAAAAUACAGUUUUUUCAACUGUAAAAAUGGUGUGCAUCUGGCACGGGUUUGUCCCGCCUCCUCGGAUGAGAUCGAACGUGAUGAUCUCAGCCAUUCCAGUGCUUCUCCAUUGCGAAGCAUUUGAUUGGUGUGGCAUUUUGCUGUGCUGUGCACGAACCUCCAAAUCCACCUCUGGGGUUCUUUGCAAAAUAUACAGAAACCAAAAAGUGAGAGCCACUUCAAAGU